rnacentral:rRNA from 1 species
UGGCUCAGGAUGAACGCUGGCGGCGUGCCUAACACAUGCAAGUCGAGCGUGAACCCUAGAAUGAAACUCGGUCGAAUGAAGAGGGGGAAAGCGGCGGACGGGUGAGUAACGCGUAGGCAACCUGCCCCGUACAGAGGGAUAGCCUCGGGAAACCGGGAUUAAAACCUCAUAAUACCAUGGUAUCACAUGAUGCAAUGGUCAAAGAUUUAUCGGUAUGGGAUGGGCCUGCGUCUGAUUAGCUGGUUGGUGGGGUAACGGCCUACCAAGGCAACGAUCAGUAGCCGACCUGAGAGGGUAAUCGGCCACAUUGGAACUGAGACACGGUCCAAACUCCUACGGGAGGCAGCAGUGGGGAAUAUUGCACAAUGGGCGAAAGCCUGAAUGCAGCAACGCCGCGUGAGCGAAGAAGGCCUUUGGGUCGUAAAGCUCUGUCGGGAAGGAAGAUAAUGACGGUACUUCCCGAGGAAGCCCCGGCUAACUACGUGCCAGCCGCAGC